UACGUAGGGGGCAAGCGUUGUCCGGAAUCAUUGGGCGUAAAGAGCGCGUAGGCGGUCCGGUAAGUCCGCUCUGAAAGUCCGGGGCUCAACCCCGGGAGGCGGGCGGAUACUGUCGGGCUAGAGUCCGGAAGAGGCGAGUGGAAUUCCUGGUGUAGCGGUGAAAUGCGCAGAUAUCAGGAGGAACACCAAUGGCGAAGGCAGCUCGCUGGGACGGUACUGACGCGUGAGGCGCGAAAGCGUGGGGAGCAAACAGG
rnacentral:rRNA from 1 species